CGAACGGGUGAGUAACACGUGGGCAACCUGCCCAAAAGAGGGGGAUAACACUUGGAAACAGGUGCUAAUACCGCAUAACCAUAGUUACCGCAUGGUAACUAUGUAAAAGGUGGCUAUGCUACCGCUUUUGGAUGGGCCCGCGGCGCAUUAGCUAGUUGGUGGGGUAAAGGCUUACCAAGGCAAUGAUGCGUAGCCGAACUGAGAGGUUGAUCGGCCACAUUGGGACUGAGACACGGCCCAAACUCCUACGGGAGGCAGCAGUAGGGAAUCUUCCACAAUGGGCGAAAGCCUGAUGGAGCAACGCCGCGUGGGUGAAGAAGGUCUUCGGAUCGUAAAACCCUGUUGUUAGAGAAGAAAGUGCGUGAGAGUAACUGUUCACGUUUCGACGGUAUCUAACCAGAAAGCCACGGCUAACUACGUGCCAGCAGCCGCGGUAAUACGUAGGUGGCAAGCGUUAUCCGGAUUUAUUGGGCGUAAAGGGAACGCAGGCGGUCUUUUAAGUCUGAUGUGAAAGCCUU
rnacentral:rRNA from 1 species